rnacentral:rRNA from 1 species
UAGUCCGCGCCGUAAACGAUGAUAACUAGCUGUCCGGGCACUUGGUGCUUGGGUGGCGCAGCUAACGCAUUAAGUUAUCCGCCUGGGGAGUACGGCCGCAAGGUUAAAACUCAAAGAAAUUGACGGGGGCCUGCACAAGCGGUGGAGCAUGUGGUUUAAUUCGAAGCAACGCGCAGAACCUUACCAACGUUUGACAUGUCCAGUAUGGGUAUCAGAGAUGACUCCCUUCAGUUCGGCUGGCUGGAAC